rnacentral:rRNA from 1 species
GACGAACGCUGGCGGCGUGCUUAACACAUGCAAGUCGAACGGAAAGGCCCUGCUUUUGUGGGGUGCUCGAGUGGCGAACGGGUGAGUAACACGUGAGUAACCUGCCCUUGACUUUGGGAUAACUCCAGGAAACUGGGGCUAAUACCGGAUAGGAGCUCCUGCUGCAUGUUGGGGGUUGGAAAGUUUCGGCGGUUGGGGAUGGACUCGCGGCUUAUCAGCUUGUUGGUGUGGUAGUGGCUUACCAAGGCUUUGACGGGUAGCCGGCCUGAGAGGGUGACCGGCCACAUUGGGACUGAGAUACGGCCCAGACUCCUACGGGAGGCAGCAGUGGGGAAUAUUGCACAAUGGGCGGAAGCCUGAUGCAGCAACGCCGCGUGCGGGAUGACGGCCUUCGGGUUGUAAACCGCUUUCGCCUGUGACGAAGCGUGAGUGACGGUAAUGGGUAAAGAAGCACCGGCUAACUACGUG